GAUGAACGCUGGCGGCGUGCCUAAUACAUGCAAGUCGAGCGAACGGACGAGAAGCUUGCUUCUCUGAUGUUAGCGGCGGACGGGUGAGUAACACGUGCAUAACCUACCUAUAAGACUGGGAUAACUUCGGGAAACCGUAGCUAAUACCGGAUAAUAUUUUGAACCGCAUGGUUCAAAAGUGAAAGACGGUCUUGCUGUCACUUAUAGAUGGAUCCGCGCUGCAUUAGCUAGUUGGUAAGGUAACGGCUUACCAAGGCAACGAUGCAUAGCCGACCUGAGAGGGUGAUCGGCCACACUGGAACUGAGACACGGUCCAGACUCCUACGGGAGGCAGCAGUAGGGAAUCUUCCGCAAUGGGCGAAAGCCUGACGGAGCAACGCCGCGUGAGUGAUGAAGGUCUUCGGAUCGUAAAACUCUGUUAUUAGGGAAGAACAUAUGUGUAAGUAACUGUGCACAUCUUGACGGUACCUAAUCAGAAAGCCACUGCUAACUACGUG
rnacentral:rRNA from 1 species